rnacentral:lncRNA from 1 species
UCAGGAUCCAAACAUAAUUUUUUUAAUUAAAAAAUUAUAAAGCCUGGAAUUAUACAAUAUUUUCCAAGUACCUAGAUGAUCCUUGACGUGGCAUCUGUCCCAAGACAUGCUGGAAAGGAUGGCUGUCAGACAGAAGAGCUGGUCUCUCUCCUCCUCCUCCUCCUCCUCCUUCUUCUUCUCUCUCUCUCUCUCUCUCGCUAUAUAUAUAUAUAUAUAUAUAUAUAUAUAUAUAUAUAUAUAUAUAUAUAUGUAGGAAACUGUCUCUUCCUGGACCAAGCAGCUGGUAUUUACAGAUGGGAUGUCCUGCCUAUUAUCUUUGAGGCCUUUAGUCUGGGCUGCAGGGAGUGGGAAGGCACAGCUUACAUGGUACACACCUUGGAGCACUGCCAGGAGUCUCAGCCACAAUGGGGGCACCCCACUGGGUGGGUGGCAUGGCCCUGUUGCAGCUCUCCUGGCUGGUCUCAGAAGUUCUUCAGGGGGCAGGUCCUUUUCUUUUAGAGACUCUGCAAGAGCUCUCUAUUGCAAGCAGGCUUUAAGUCAUAUAUUAUGAGGGGUGGCCAAAGCCUUUCACUUCCCACUGGCUUCCAAUGAAAAUUGCUGCAAAAAAGUGCUGACUCAUUCAUACUAAAGUGUAAAUGACUGCAAUAAGAAUACUUUUAUGUGACUGACUGAUAGAAGGCC